rnacentral:rRNA from 1 species
UACGGAGGGGGCUAGCGUUGUCCGGAAUCAUUGGGCGUAAAGCGCGUGUAGGCGGUCCGGUAAGUCCGCUGUGAAAGUCGGGGGCUCAACCCUCGGAUGCCGGUGGAUACUGUCGGGCUUGAGUACGGAAGAGGCGAGUGGAAUUCCGUGGUGUAGCGGUGAAAUGCGCAGAUAUCAGGAGGAACACCAAUUGCGAAGGCAGCUCGCUGGGACGUUACUGACGCUGAGACGCGAAAGCGUGGGGAGCAAACAGG